rnacentral:rRNA from 1 species
AGAGUUUGAUCAUGCCUCAGGAUGAACGCCCCCUGCGUGCUUACCACAUGCAAGUCGACCCGCGAAGCAGCGCUUGCUCUGUGGAUUAGUGGCGAUAUGGAGAGUAUCACGCGAGCAAUCUGCGCCUGAAUCUCGGAUAGAGCGCUCGAAACGCCGUCUGAUACCGGAUAAGAGAUGCGGGCGCACGGUCGAGUAUCUGCAAAGAAUUUCGCUCAGGGAUGAGCACGCGGCGUAUCCGCCACCUGGCGAGGUAAUGACUCAGACAAGGCGUGGACGUCUAGCCCCCCCGAGUGGGUGACCGGCCACACUGGGUCUGGGUCGCCGCCCAGACUCAUACGGUAGGCAGCAGUGGGGAAUAGUGCGCGCCGCGCCCAAUCCUGAUGCAGCAACGCCGCGUGCGGGACCACCGCGGUGGGGUAGUAAACCUCUUUGAGCAGGGAAGAAGGGAAAGUGACGGUCCCUGCAGAAAAAGCGCCGGCUAACUGCGUGCCCGCAGCGGCGGUAAUAGGUAGGGCGCAACCCGUUCUCCGGCACUAUUGGGCGUAAAGCGCUCGUAGGCGGUCUCUCCCCUCUGGUGUGACAUCCCGAGGCUCAACCUCGGCCCUGCAGCUGGGAACGGGCAUACUCCCGUGCGCUAGGGGAGAUUGGAAUUCCUGGUGUAGCGGUGGAAUGCGCAGAUAUCAGGAGGAACACCGAUGGCGAAGGCAGAUCUCUGGGCCGUAACUGACGCUGAGGAGCGAAAGGGUGGGGAGCAAACAGGCUUAGAUACCCUGGUAGUCCACCCCGUAAACGUUGGGAACUAGUUGUGGGGUCCAUUCCACGGAUUCCGUGACGCAGCUAACGCAUUAAGUUCCCCGCCUGGGGAGUACGGCCGCAAGGCUAAAACUCAAAGGAAUUGACGGGGACCCGCACAAGCGGCGGAGCAUGCGGAUUAAUUCGAUGCAACGCGAAGAACCUUACCAAGGCUUGACAUAUAGAGGAAACGUCUGGAAACAGUCGCCCCGCAAGGUCUCUAUACAGGUGGUGCAUGGUUGUCGUCAGCUCGUGUCGUGAGAUGUUGGGUUAAGUCCCGCAACGAGCGCAACCCUCGUUCUAUGUUGCCAGCACGUAAUGGUGGGAACUCAUGGGAUACUGCCGGGGUCAACUCGGAGGAAGGUGGGGAUGACGUCAAAUCAUCAUGCCCCUUAUGUCUUGGGCUUCACGCAUGCUACAAUGGCCGGUACAAAGGGCUGCAAUACCGUGAGGUGGAGCGAAUCCCAAAAAGCCGGUCCCAGUUCGGAUUGAGGUCUGCAACUCGACCUCAUGAAGUCGGAGUCGCUAGUAAUCGCAGAUCAGCAACGCUGCGGUGAAUACGUUCCCGGGUCUUGUACACACCGCCCGUCAAGUCAUGAAAGUCGGUAACACCUGAAGCCGGUGGCCCAACCCUUGUGGAGGGAGCCGUCGAAGGUGGGAUCGGUAAUAGGAUAA